AAUCCUGCUCAGGAUGAACGCUGGCGGCGUGCUUAACACAUGCAAGUCGAACGAUGACCCGGUGCUUGCACCGGUGAUUAGUGGCGAACGGGUGAGUAACACGUGAGUAACCUGCCCUUAACUCUGGGAUAAGCCUGGGAAACUGGGUCUAAUACCGGAUAUGACUCCUCAUCGCAUGGUGGGGGGUGGAAAGCUUUAUUGUGGUUUUGGAUGGACUCGCGGCCUAUCAGCUUGUUGGUGAGGUAAUGGCUCACCAAGGCGACGACGGGUAGCCGGCCUGAGAGGGUGACCGGCCACACUGGGACUGAGACACGGCCCAGACUCCUACGGGAGGCAGCAGUGGGGAAUAUUGCACAAUGGGCGCAAGCCUGAUGCAGCGACGCCGCGUGAGGGAUGACGGCCUUCGGGUUGUAAACCUCUUUCAGUAGGGAAGAAGCGAAAGUGACGGUACCUGCAGAAGAAGCGCCGGCUAACUACGUGCCAGCAGCCGCGGUAAUACGUAGGGCGCAAGCGUUAUCCGGAAUUAUUGGGCGUAAAGAGCUCGUAGGCGGUUUGUCGCGUCUGCCGUGAAAGUCCGGGGCUCAACUCCGGAUCUGCGGUGGGUACGGGCAGACUAGAGUGAUGUAGGGGAGACUGGAAUUCCUGGUGUAGCGGUGAAAUGCGCAGAUAUCAGGAGGAACACCGAUGGCGAAGGCAGGUCUCUGGGCAUUAACUGACGCUGAGGAGCGAAAGCAUGGGGAGCGAACAGGAUUAGAUACCCUGGUAGUCCAUGCCGUAAACGUUGGGCACUAGGUGUGGGGGACAUUCCACGUUUUCCGCGCCGUAGCUAACGCAUAAGUG
rnacentral:rRNA from 1 species